GACGAACGCUGGCGGCGUGCUUAACACAUGCAAGUCGAACGGAAAGGCCCUGCUUUUGUGGGGUGCUCGAGUGGCGAACGGGUGAGUAACACGUGAGUAACCUGCCCUUGACUUUGGGAUAACUUCAGGAAACUGGGGCUAAUACCGGAUAGGAGCUCCUGCUGCAUGGUGGGGGUUGGAAAGUUUCGGCGGUUGGGGAUGGACUCGCGGCUUAUCAGCUUGUUGGUGGGGUAGUGGCUUACCAAGGCUUUGACGGGUAGCCGGCCUGAGAGGGUGACCGGCCACAUUGGGACUGAGAUACGGCCCAGACUCCUACGGGAGGCAGCAGUGGGGAAUAUUGCACCAUGGGCGGAAGACUGAUGAAGCAACGCCGCGUGCGGGAUGACGGCCUUCGGGUUGUAGACCGCUUUCGCCUGUGACGAAGCGUGAGUGACGGUAAUGGGUAAAGAAGCACCGGCUAACUACGUG
rnacentral:rRNA from 1 species